GAUGAACGCUGGCGGCGUGCCUAAUACAUGCAAGUCGAGCGAACGGACGAGAAGCUUGCUUCUCUGAUGUUAGCGGCGGACGGGUGAGUAACACGUGGAUAACCUACCUAUAAGACUGGGAUAACUUCGGGAAACCGGAGCUAAUACCGGAUAAUAUUUUGAACCGCAUGGUUCAAAAGUAAAAGACGGUCUUGCUGUCACUUAUAGAUGGAUCCGCGCUGCAUUAGCUAGUUGGUAAGGUAACGGCUCACCAAGGCAACGAUGCAUAGCCGACCUGAGAGGGUGAUCGGCCACCCUGGAACUGAGACACGGUCCAGACUCCUACGGGAGGCAGCAGUAGGGAAUCUUCCGCAAUGGGCGAAAACCUGACGGAGCAACGCCGCGUGAGUGAUGAAGGUCUUCGGAUCGUAAAACUCUGUUAUUAGGGAAGAACAUAUGUGUAAGUAACUGUGCACAUCUUGACGGUACCUAAUUAGAAAGCCACGGCUAACUACGUG
rnacentral:rRNA from 1 species